UUCCAUUUCUGGAGAAGCUUGUAGAACUG
rnacentral:piRNA from 1 species